rnacentral:sRNA from 1 species
CUCUUGCGUAAGGGAUUGGAGUGUAAAUCCUUUUUUUAGUAUGGAGCGUAGCGUAAUGCUUAAAAAAGAUUGCAGCGUAAAGCCCGACCCGGA